GAAAUGCGAUAAGUAAUGUGAAUUGCAGAAUUCAGUGAAUCAUCGAAUCUUUGAACGCACCUUGCGCUCCUUGGUAUUCCGAGGAGCAUGCCUGUUUGAGUGUUAUGGUAUUCUCAACCCCCCUCGCACUUUUUGAGAGUGGCGGGCGUCGGUUGGACUUGGAGGCUUUGCGGGCGCUCACCGGCCGGCUCCUCUGAAAAGCAUUAGCUUGAGACCCUCUGCCCAAGCAACGAUCCAGCGUGAUAAUUGUCUGCGCUGCUUCGCUUGUGGUGUCCGGGCGGCUUCCAACUGUCUGGUGUUCAGACAAAAUCCCCAUUCGAACAUCUGACCUCAAAUCAGGUAGGACUACCCGCUGAACUUAA
rnacentral:misc_RNA from 1 species